GAAGCAGUAGCUCAAUCGUAGUGCUCCCGCCUUGUACGCUGGAAGACCUCGGUUCGAUUCCCGGCUGCUUUC
rnacentral:tRNA from 1 species